rnacentral:rRNA from 1 species
UACGUAGGGGGCAAGCGUUGUCCGGAAUCAUUGGGCGUAAAGAGCGCGUAGGCGGCCCUGUAAGUCCGCUGUGAAAGUCAAGGGCUCAACCCUCGGAUGCCGGUGGAUACUGUCGGGCUCGAGUACGGAAGAGGCGAGUGGAAUUCCUGGUGUAGCGGUGAAAUGCGCAGAUAUCAGGAGGAACACCAAUUGCGAAGGCAGCUCGCUGGGACGUUACUGACGCUGAGACGCGAAAGCGUGGGGAGCAAACAGG